GGGAAUCUACCUAGUUCUACGGAACAACAGUUGGAAACGACUGCUAAUACCGUAUACGCCCUACGGGGGAAAGAUUUAUCGGAAUUAGAUGAGCCCGCGUAAGAUUAGCUAGUUGGUGGGGUAAUGGCCUACCAAGGCGACGAUCUUUAGCUGGUCUGAGAGGAUGAUCAGCCACACUGGGACUGAGACACGGCCCAGACUCCUACGGGAGGCAGCAGUGGGGAAUAUUGGACAAUGGGCGCAAGCCUGAUCCAGCCAUGCCGCGUGAGUGAUGAAGGCCUUAGGGUUGUAAAGCUCUUUCACCGAUGAAGAUAAUGACGGUAGUCGGAGAAGAAGCCCCGGCUAACUUCGUGCCAGCAGCCGCGGUAAUACGAAGGGGGCUAGCGUUGUUCGGAUUUACUGGGCGUAAAGCGCACGUAGGCGGUUUGUUAAGUCAGGGGUGAAAUCCCAGAGCUCAACUCUGGAACUGCCUUUGAUACUGGAAGUCUUGAGUAUGGUAGAGGUGAGUGGAAUUCCGAGU
rnacentral:rRNA from 1 species